AACAUCUUGUCGGAGUGCCCCUGGUGAUUUAACCAGCAGGGGCUGAGACCGCAAACGCGGGAUCCGUUGAACCUGAUCAGGCUAAUACCUGCGAAGGAAACAAGAGCGCAUCGGCC
rnacentral:ncRNA from 1 species